rnacentral:miRNA from 1 species
UGAUGUUGAGGCAAAAAUGUAG